UCCACUCUGGCAGGUUGGAAACUCCAACAUCUCCCAGCCCCGCAUGACCUCUGAGAACUCCAUUCUGCUCAGACACCUCCAGGAGCUGUUCACUGUCUCAGAGGAUCUCACCUUGCACAUGCAGAGCUUAGUCUUCAACCAAAGACUCAAGGAUUUAAGGCAUUCUAGGAAUCCAAGAUUUUGGUGGUCCUUCUCUGAGAAACUCCUUUGUUUUACAGUGUCUUAAUCCCCCUCACCCCCAAAUUUAACUGCCUUAAUAGUCUUUAACCAAUCUAUUUCCUCAGCUCAGUAAGACCACUGCUAUCUGUGUAGGCUUUAUUUUCCUGGGCCACAUUUUGGAAGCUGCUGCUAGGAAUGACUCAAGGGUUGCUUAUAUGCAAACUGGAAUUCUGACAAUUACAGAAAAGUGUCAGACAACAGUAAGUCUGCCUAAAGUAAAAUUUUACUUGUGAUGAAGAAAAGGGAUUUGUGUAUAUGAAGCAUAUGACCAGCUAAGUUUGAAAAACCCAGAUGCUCCUGGGCUUUGGAUGAUUGACUUACAAACUGAAAAGCAGAACAUCACACACCAUUUCUCUGAAAGUCAAGUUCACAUGGAUCUAGCAAUUAUCUCCACAGGGCAUCAUCUAUUUUCAUGCCUUUGCAAAUAAAUAAUCUUCACUUGAAUAAAAAUCAUUUGCUCCUUGA